rnacentral:rRNA from 1 species
CUUUACUGCAGUUUCGUACUGGCACUAGGACACAUUUGCGUAGGAUAGGUGGGACGCUUUGAAGCGUGGAUCUCGGUUCACGUGGAGCGGUUGGUGAAAUACCACCCUUGUGUGUUUUAUUGUCUAACCCGCGCUCUUGAAACAGGGCGGGGGACAGUGCGUGAUGGGCAGUUUGACUGGGGUGGUCGCCUCCCAAAUUGUACCGGAGGCGCGCGAAGGUUUGCUCAGGCUGGUCGGAAAUCAGCUGGUGAGUGUAAUGGCAAAAGCAAGCCUGACUGCAAGAGGGACACCUCGAGCAGAGACGAAAGUCGGUCAUAAUGACCUGGUGGUUCCGCAUGGAAGGACCAUCACACACGGAUAAAAGCUA